AAAAUUGCCCCCGUAACUUCGGGAGAAGGGGGGCCUCCGCUGGUGAUCAGACUUGCUUUGUGAGCUGGUGGGGGUCGCAGAGGCCAGGGGGAAGCGACUGUUUACUAAAAACACAGGUCCGUGCGAAGUCGUAAGACGAUGUAUACGGACUGACGCCUGCCCGGUGCUGGAACGUUAAGGGGACCGGUUAGCGCAUUUCGGUGUGCGAGGCUGAGAACUUAAGCGCCAGUAAACGGCGGUGGUAACUAUAACCAUCCUAAGGUAGCGAAAUUCCUUGUCGGGUAAGUUCCGACCUGCACGAAUGGCGUAACGACUUCCCCGCUGUCUCAACCGCAGACCCGGCGAAAUUGCACUACGAGUAAAGAUGCUCGUUACGCGCAGCAGGACGGAAAGACCCCGGGACCUUCACUACAGCUUGACAUUGGCGUUUGGAACGUCUUGUGUAGGAUAGGUGGGAGACUGUGAAGCUGUCACGCUAGUGGCGGUGGAGUCAUUGGUGAAAUACCACUCUGGUCGUUUUGAACGUCUAACUUGUCCGUGAUCCGGAUCAGGGACAGUGUCUGGUGGGUAGUUUAACUGGGGCGGUUGCCUCCUAAAGAGUAACGGAGGCGCCCAAAGGUUCCCUCAGCCUGGUUGGUAAUCAGGUGUCGAGUGUAAGUGCACAAGGGAGCUUGACUGUGAGACCGACGGGUCGAGCAGGAGCGAAAGCUGGGACUAGUGAUCCGGCGGUGGCAUGUGGAAGCGCCGUCGCUCAACGGCUAAAAGGUACCCCGGGGAUAACAGGCUGAUCUUCCCCAAGAGUCCAUAUCGACGGGAUGGUUUGGCACCUCGAUGUCGGCUCGUCGCAUCCUGGGGCUGGAGUAGGUCCCAAGGGUUGGGCUGUUCGCCCAUUAAAGCGGUACGCGAGCUGGGUUUAGAACGUCGCGAGACAGUUCGGUCCCUAUCCGCUGCGCGCGCAGGAGACUUGAAAGGAGCUGUCCCAAUUACGAGAGGACCGGGACGGACGAACCUCUGGUGUGCCAGUUGUUCCGCCAGGAGCAUGGCUGGUUGGCUACGUUCGGAAGGGAUAACCGCUGAAAGCAUCUAAGCGGGAAGCUCGCCUUGAGAUGAGGUCUCCCACCACGAAAGUGGGUAAGGCCCCCGGGAGACGACCGGGUUGAUAGGCCGGAGGUGGAAGCAUGGUAACGUGUGGAGCUGACCGGUACUAAUAGGCCGAGGACUUGACCAC
rnacentral:rRNA from 1 species